GCAAACUUGAUAUGAAAGAAACGAGUGCCUCCUCUUCUGCUACCUAGAACAAUAAUAGGGAAAACUGGAUUAGAUUUAGAUGACGGUGAAGCGACAGUUGGUGGAAGAAACAUUAACAGUUUAAGAAAUGCAGAUGUCAGGACAUUACUUGCAGGAAAUAGUAAAGACUUGAAAUGUUUACUGCUAAAGGUUAAAGUUAAAGCAGGACAACAGCUGAACAUAAAGGAGACAAAAAUAAUGACUACUGAGGAAUUACUGAACUUCAAGACUGACAUUGAUGAAACUGAAAUUGUUUAAGAUUUUCUUUUUCUUGGGUCCACCAUCAAGAAUUCAGAAGGAGGCUGAGAUUGGGAAAGGGGAGCCAUGAAGGAACUAGAAAAGAUACCUAAGCAUAAGGAUGUGUCACUGGCAAGAUCAAGUUAAUUCAUGCUUUAUGAGAGUGAAAGUUGGACAACAAAGAAAGCUGACAGGAAGAAAGUAGAUUCUUUUGAAAUGUGUUGUAGGAGAGUUUUAAGAAUAUCAUGAACAACCAAAAAGACAAAUCUAGAUCAAAUCAAUCCUGAAUUCUCUGUAGAAACUAAGAUGAUUAAACUGAGGCUAUUCUAUUUUGGUCACAUGCUGAGAAGAUAUAAGUCACUGGAAAAGACAAUUCUAAAAAAUGCUGAAGGCAGCAACAAAAGGGAAAGACCAAACAUGACCUGGAUUGACUCUAUAAAGAAAACCAUGACCCCUAGUUUGCAAGAUCUGACCAAGGGGGCUAGCAAUAGGAGGAUAUUAAUUCAUAGGGUUGCCAUGAGUUGAAAGCAACUUGAUGGCACUUAACAUACAUACACAGAUCAUGCACGUCUGGAAAAUUGUUGUCCCCUUUCUUCAUACCUCAGAUGCCUUCAAUACUGUCAAGAUGGAAAAUCUAGUUUACAGACCUUGUAAUAUCUGCUGUACCCAAGCGUCAGUCCAAAGGAGGACAUCCCAUGACACUCCUUCAGGAAGAGAUUGCAUCUUCUGACUUUUUCUCUGAAAAUUGUAACUUGGUUUUAUCAUGAAGGCAGACCCUCUCCUCAAGCAACAGCUACUAAUACCUGAGAAUUGCUAAGUCUCCAUUCUAACCCUGGUGCUGACAUCAGCUGCAAGAAUAAUCCUGAAAUGACAAAUGGCACUUAGAGGCAAUGGAAUUCAAGGCUUCAUGCAGGACAUUUCUUCUUAAAGGACAUGUCAAUUUACCAUUGAGGUGGCAAGUCUGGGAAGGCAUAAAAUCUGCUGUAGAACCAAAGAAUGCAGGUGAGCUAUGACUCUUGUUGGAUCUAUGUCUGUACCGCAAAAUUACAUCCAUGGUCCUUCAUAUCCCUCCUCUGACUAGGAUCUACAUUCUGCUGCCUGUUAACACUUGGUGCUCUCAGUUCCUUGCCUUUGCCCUUAUGAAGUGUAUCACUGACCCUUAUGAGAAGGCAAAAUACCGGUUUUAAUGUCAGCCACAGACCUUUCUUCUAGUGACAUCACAGGCAAAGCAUCAUUUAGUAUCAUCAUCCUUUUAUAUGCAGGAUCACAUGAAUCUAUUCUUUACCUCCUAAAUCACUGUGGUUUUCAGGAUCAAGAUGGGAUGUGGUGUAAGGUUCUGCAGUUGGAGGAAGGAGUCUUCAGAAUCUUUCAUUUGUGCAAGCAGCAGUUUGGGUCCAGCUCUGCAUAUAUUACAGAGCCAGUGCAGUGUGGUGGUUAAACUAGAGUGUAGGACUGGAUCGGAGUCAGCCAAGUUUGAAUCACUACUCUGCUAUGCAGAGUUUCUGGGUGAGUUUGGCAGUCAUACAAUCUCAGCUAAACCCAUUUCACAGGAUUGUUGAAUGGACAAAAUGAGGGAUGGGGGAUGAUAUAAGCAACUUCGUGUCCACAUUGGGGAAAAGGAUGAAGUAUAAAAUCAGAGGCAGCAAGUGGUGUUUACACUGCCACUCACCUUUGGGAGGCUGCCUACGGUGAGAGCAUUUUUAAAUGGCCCCUGGCUUCCCCAGGAUUGCUGCUAGCAAUAAUGGCUUGUGUUCUCCCUGCAGAUUUCUGACCCCCCCCCCUUUU